rnacentral:piRNA from 1 species
UCACGGUGAAGGGCGUGAGUGCGGUUG